rnacentral:rRNA from 1 species
GCGAAAUUCCUUGUCGGGUAAGUUCCGACCUGCACGAAUCGUGUAACGAGUUGGGCGCUGUCUCAACGAGGAGCUCAGUGAAAUUGUAAUGGCGGUGAAGAUGCCGCCUACCCGUGGAAGGACGGAAAGACCCUAUGCACCUUAACUGUACUCUGUCACUGGUGUUUCGGAUUUCAUGCUCAGUGUAAGUGGGAGACUGUGAAGCCAACCUCUAGGGGUUGGCGGAGUCGUCAAUGAGACACCACCCUUGGCAUUUGAGACAUCUAACAUUGACCCGUGAAAACCGGGCAAAGGACCAUGGCAGACGGUCAGUUUUACUGGGGCGGUAUCCUCCUAAAGAGUAACGGAGGAGCACGAUGGUUGGUUCAACCUGGUUGGUAAUCAGGUGUUGAGUGCAUUGGCAUAAACCAGCCUAACUGUGAGGCCUACAAGCCGAGCAGAGACGAAAGUCGGUCAAAGUGAUCCGGCGCUAGAAAGUGGAAUCGGCGUCGCUCAACGGACAAAAGG